rnacentral:lncRNA from 1 species
UGGUCGGCAUCCAUUUUUAUAUCUGUGUUUUACUGAAACUAAAUAACUAUCUGUAAUUUGUAUUUUCGUGUGUGCGUGUGCGUCCUACAGGAAUGAAGGCGGCCCUGCGCAGUGCUGCCUCUGCCACUCCCACACAGCAGCCAGCCCCAGCUGCUGAGAAACGCCUCAGCCUGGCCCCAGCCUGCUCAGCACGCCUCAGGAAAAAAACAAACGGUAUCAUUACUGAAAACAGCAUGACCAGUAGGCUACAUGACAAUGUGAAAACGUAGGCUUCUUACAGAGCAACCUGCAUAGUGGACAGUUGUAACAAGCCUCUGAUAUUAAAGUGGAGCCUUAUCUCAUUCUGUACUCCUGGAUUCGAAACCCUUCAUUUGGUUUUCUGUGUGAAGAUAAUGGAACAAAUGUUCAAUUUCCCAGCAAUGCUUUGUUCUGAGUUGCUAUUGUUAAAUAUGGUUCAUCUUUUUAUGACCUUUCAAGUUCAUUACUGGCACUGCACAGUUCAUAACAGCAUGGGCUAAAGAUCAUCAAGUUCCCAAGCAGAACAGGAAGUAGUCAAUAUGAUGGUACAGAGAUUUGUUAUAACCUGUAUGACCUUUAUGCUGGAAAUGGCUUUAACUGGAAUUGAAAUGUGGUGCUGUUUCCUCCUUUUGCCUGUAGAGGGAGCCAUUCCCUCCCUGAGCAAAGACACUGCAGCCAGCUCAGUGCGACCCUCUCAAGCCUCUGCUAGCCUGAAAAGACCCGUCCCUGAGCCCAAAGGAGGCCCAGCCAAGAGGUCGAAAGGAGAACCAGUAUCUAAUAUCAGAUCUGGUCUUCUGAGGAAGCGAGGUGCUUCAUCUGUGACUGCUCCCUCAUUGGACAGCGAGGACACUUACCUGUGCGAGUGUGGUCGCAAGACAGGUAUGGACACGAAAUGACAGCUGUUAAAAAAAACAUGCUAGAAUCAUUGGAACUGUAAAUGUCUAAUCCAAGUACUGUUAAAAAAAACAGCUUGCAAGAAAUGUCAACAUCUCCUACAAGAAAAUCAGAAACUACGCCGGGAGCUCAGCACGCUAAAAAGUCACAAAUAAAGGUACCCAGGUUUCAAUUUCUUUCA